rnacentral:rRNA from 1 species
AAGCAGAGGGGGCUUAGUGGUGGGGUGACUGCGUACCUUUUGUAUAAUGGGUCAGCGACUUAUAUUCUGUAGCAAGGUUAACCGAAUAGGGGAGCCGGAGGGAAACCGAGUCUUAACCGGGCGUUAAGUUGCAGGGUAUAGACCCGAAACCCGGUGAUCUAGCCAUGGGCAGGUUGAAGGUUGGGUAACACUAACUGGAGGACCGAACCGACUAAUGUUGAAAAAUUAGCGGAUGACCUGUGGCUGGGGGUGAAAGGCCAAUCAAACCGGGAGAUAGCUGGUUCUCCCCGAAAGCUAUUUAGGUAGCGCCUCGUGAAUUCAUCUCCGGGGGUAGAGCACUGUUUCGGCUAGGGGGCCAUCCCGGCUUACCAACCCGAUGCAAACUGCGAAUACCGGAGAAUGUUAUCACGGGAGACACACGGCGGGUGCUAACGUCCGUCGUGAAGAGGGAAACAACCCAGACCGCCAGCUAAGGUCCCAAAGUCAUGGUUAAGUGGGAAACGAUGUGGGAAGGCCCAGACAGCCAGGAUGUUGGCUUAGAAGCAGCCAUCAUUUAAAGAAAGCGUAAUAGCUCACUGGUCGAGUCGGCCUGCGCGGAAGAUGUAACGGGGCUAAACCAUGCACCGAAGCUGCGGCAGCGACACUCAGGUGUUGUUGGGUAGGGGAGCGUUCUGUAAGCCUGUGAAGGUGGCCUGUGAGGGUUGCUGGAGGUAUCAGAAGUGCGAAUGCUGACAUAAGUAACGAUAAAGCGGGUGAAAAGCCCGCUCGCCGGAAGACCAAGGGUUCCUGUCCAACGUUAAUCGGGGCAGGGUGAGUCGACCCCUAAGGCGAGGCCGAAAGGCGUAGUCGAUGGGAAACGGGUUAAUAUUCCCGUACUUGGUGUUACUGCGAAGGGGGGACGGAGAAGGCUAUGUUGGCCGGGCGACGGUUGUCCCGGUUUAAGCGUGUAGGUGUGUGUUCCAGGUAAAUCCGGUU